rnacentral:rRNA from 1 species
AACGAACGCUGGCGGCAGGCUUAACACAUGCAAGUCGAGCGCCCCGCAAGGGGAGCGGCAGACGGGUGAGUAACGCGUGGGAAUCUACCCAUCUCUACGGAAUAACGCAUGGAAACGUGUGCUAAUACCGUAUACGCCCUUCGGGAGAAAGAUUUAUCGGAGAUGGAUGAGCCCGCGUUGGAUUAGCUAGUUGGUGGGGUAAAGGCCUACCAAGGCGACGAUCCAUAGCUGGUCUGAGAGGAUGAUCAGCCACACUGGGACUGAGACACGGCCCAGACUCCUACGGGAGGCAGCAGUGGAGAAUAUUGGACAAUGGGCGCAAGCCUGAUCCAGCCAUGCCGCGUGGGUGAUGAAGGCCCUAGGGUUGUAAAGCUCUUUCACCGGUGAAGAUAAUGACGGUAACCGGAGAAGAAGCCCCGGCUAACUUCGUGCCAGCAGCCGCGGUAAAAC